UCAAAGUCUAUCUAUAAUCGUCUACAAUCUAAAGAACAACAGGAACAAAAAAAUGAUUCUUAAAAGCUCUUAUGACAUGAAAUAUCUACAUAUUCUACAACAGAGAGAAGGGGGAGGAAGCACUUCCUUUACUUUAUUGCACAAUACACAACCUAUACUUACAGCAACUUCUUACACUUAAACUUGCAUCAACUUCUUGAACUAAAUUCUAUUUAUGAGACUCCUCAGUUGGCUUCACAAUAAGCAAAGGGCAUUUCGCAUGGUGGGCACAGUAGUCGCUUACGCUUCCCAGAAACGCCCU
rnacentral:lncRNA from 1 species